rnacentral:rRNA from 1 species
UACGGAAGGCAGCAGGGGGAAUAUUGCACAAUGGGCGAAAGCCUGAUGCAGCUAUGCCGCGUGUAUGAAGAAGGCCUUAGGGUUGUAAAGUACUUUCAUCGGGGAGGAAAAAACAAAACUAAUAAUUUUAUUUCUUGACGUUACCCGAAAAAGAAGCACCGGCUAACUCCGUGCCAGCAGCCGCGGUAAUACGGAGGGUGCUAGCGUUAAUCAGAAUUACUGGGCGUAAAGAGCACGUAGGUGGUUUUUUUAAAGUCAGAUGUGAAAUCCCUGGGCUUAACCUGGAACUGCAUUUUGAAACUGAAAUACUAGAGUAUCGUAGAGGGAGGUAGAAUUCUAGGUGUAGCGGUGAAAUGCGUAGAUAUCUGGAGGAAUACCUGUGGCGAAAGCGGCCUCCUAAACGAAUACUGACACUGAGGGUGCGAAAGCGUGGGGAGCAAACAGGGAUUAGAUA